rnacentral:rRNA from 1 species
CCUACGGGGGGCUGCAGUGAGGAAUAUUGGUCAAUGGGCGCGAGCCUGAACCAGCCAAGUAGCGUGAAGGAUGACUGCCCUACGGGUUGUAAACUUCUUUUAUAAAGGAAUAAAGUGAGGCACGUGUGCCUUUUUGUAUGUACUUUAUGAAUAAGGAUCGGCUAACUCCGUGCCAGCAGCCGCGGUAAUACGGAGGAUCCGAGCGUUAUCCGGAUUUAUUGGGUUUAAAGGGUGCGUAGGCGGAUUGAUAAGUUAGAGGUGAAAUGUCCGGGCUUAACUCGGGAACUGCCUCUAAUACUGUUUAUCGAGAGAGUAGGUGCGGUAGGCGGAAUGUAUGGUGUAGCGGUGAAAUGCUUAGAUAUCACGAAGAACUCCGAUUGCGAAGGCAGCUUACUAAACUGCCACUGACAUUGAUGCUCGAAAGUGUGGGUAUCAAACAGGAUUAGAUACCCGAGUAGUC